UACGUAGGGUGCGAGCGUUGUCCGGAAUUAUUGGGCGUAAAGAGCUCGUAGGCGGUUCGUCGCGUCGAAUGUGAAAACCCGGGGCUCAACCUCGGGUCUGCAGUCGAUACGAGCAAACUAGAGUGUUGCAGGGGAGACUGGAAUUCCUGGUGUAGCGGUGAAAUGCGCAGAUAUCAGGAGGAACACCUAUUGCGAAGGCAGCUCGCUGGGACGUAACUGACGCUGAGACGCGAAAGCGUGGGGAGCAAACAGG
rnacentral:rRNA from 1 species